GAUGAACGCUGGCGGCGUGCCUAAUACAUGCAAGUCGAGCGAACAGACGAGGAGCUUGCUCCUCUGACGUUAGCGGCGGACGGGUGAGUAACACGUGGAUAACCUACCUAUAAGACUGGGAUAACUUCGGGAAACCGGAGCUAAUACCGGAUAAUAUAUUGAACCGCAUGGUUCAAUAGUGAAAGACGGUUUUGCUGUCACUUAUAGAUGGAUCCGCGCCGCAUUAGCUAGUUGGUAAGGUAACGGCUUACCAAGGCAACGAUGCGUAGCCGACCUGAGAGGGUGAUCGGCCACACUGGAACUGAGACACGGUCCAGACUCCUACGGGAGGCAGCAGUAGGGAAUCUUCCGCAAUGGGCGAAGGCCUGACGGAGCAACGCCGCGUGAGUGAUGAAGAUCUUCGGAUCGUAAAACUCUGUUAUUAGGGAAGAACAAAUGUGUAAGUAACUAUGCACGUCUUGACGGUACCUAAUCAGAAAGCCACGGCUAACUACGUG
rnacentral:rRNA from 1 species